GUGGGGAAUCUUGCACAAUGGGCGAAAGCCUGAUGCAGCGACGCCGCGUGGAGGAUGAAGGCCUUCGGGUUGUAAACUCCUUUUGUAGGGGACAAUAAUGAUGGUACCCUAUGAAUAAGCCACGGCUAACUCUGUGCCAGCAGCCGCGGUAAGACAGAGGUGGCGAGCGUUGUUCGGAAUUACUGGGCUUAAAGGGCGCGUAGGCGGUGGAGUAAGUCUGAGGUGGAAUGCCACAGCCCAACUGUGGAACUGCCUUGGAAACUGCCUCACUUGAGUUAGACAGGGGAAGGCGGAAUUCCUGGUGUAGCGGUGAAAUGCGUAGAUAUCAGGAGGAAGGCCAGUGGUGAAGACGGCCUUCUGGGUCUUAACUGACGCUGAGGCGCGAAAGCGUGGGGAGCAAACAGGAUUAGAAACCCUAGUAGUCC
rnacentral:rRNA from 1 species